GUCAAUACAUGACGACGAAGAAGGUUGAUUUUCUUCCGACGUCGAUGAAAAUUCACGUUUCAUUAUUAUUGGAAACGAGGCAGAUUCUACACCGCAGCGCUACUAGUGAAUGGGAAUUAAAAUUGAAAAAUGUAAACAGGAUCGGCACAUUUGCACCAAAGAUUAUUUAUUAAAUCGAGUCGUAUAACAUAUACUAUUCUUGUUGGACACCAUUAUUCUUCUUAGAGUUCUAGUUGCAACCGAGAUAAAUGGCAGUGAUGACAUGUUCUUAUCCUAUUCUUUGAUGCGCGUACAGGUGGCAGCACUUCCGCAGACAA